rnacentral:tRNA from 1 species
UCCCUGGUGGUCCAGUGGCUUAGACUCUAUACUUCUAAUUCAGGGGGUUCAGGUUCAAUCCCUGGUCAGGGAA